UGGGGUCACUGGUGGUGCUGCUCAAGAGCCUGGGGAUCAAUGACCUGAUCCACUUCGACUUCCUGGACCCUCCCCCCCACGAGACGCUGGUGCUGGCACUGGAGCAGCUCUACGCACUGGGAGCACUGAACCACCUGGGGGAGCUCACCACGCUGGGCCGGCGCAUGGCGGAGCUGCCGGUGGAGCCCAUGUUGGCCAAGAUGAUCCUGGCGAGC